rnacentral:rRNA from 1 species
UACGAAGGGGGCUAGCGUUGCUCGGAAUCACUGGGCGUAAAGGGUGCGUAGGCGGGUCUUAAGUCAGGGGUGAAAUCCUGGAGCUCAACUCCAGAACUGCCUUUGAUACUGAGGAUCUUGAGUUCGGGAGAGGUGAGUGGAACUGCGAGUGUAGAGGUGAAAUUCGUAGAUAUUCGCAAGAACACCAGUGGCGAAGGCGGCUCACUGGCCCGAUACCGACGCUGAGGCACGAAAGCGUGGGGG